GAGCUCACGAGAGCUCACGAGGCGGGGGGGCGGGCUAAGCCACGACAAAGCGACUAGCCAAGCUAACUUCCAGCCAUGGCACUGUCUCCGGCUACGACCUUCCACGACCACGAGAGCUCCAGCUCUGACUUUCCUGGCCCAUCACAAUCAUAACGACCUAACAGCCCAGUAGGACCGAUGGCCAGAGAUGGAGGAGGAGGAAGAUAGACGCAGCAGAGGUCGGGGGUAUUGAUUAGGGAGACUCCAACAGAAUUGACGCCCUGCUAACUGUAAGGAUGUACAUUCAUCCCUCAAUAACAUUGUCCUGCUGUAUUCCUCCAGAUGUGUAAGUAUUGUAAUGGAUGUUAUCACAACGGAUGUACUCUAUAUCGCUACACGAGUACACCUGUUGUGAUAACCAUUACAAUAUUUCUACUCCUAUGAGUAGUAGUGUGAUAUUACAUGGUUGUAGGUACACAACACCAGUGGUAGUUCAAGUACAUCCAUAAAAGCCCAUCUACUUCAUACAUCUGUGUAACCCCUG